CGUUAAUAAUAAAAGAAGUUCAAUCGGGAUAAGCUAUCUGGUUUUCCCUGUGAAUCCCAAUUAUGUAUGAUGUCACCUUCAGGCAGUGGAUAUGACGCAUCGGUUCUUAUUAUAUUGUCCACGCGCAUACCACACAACAUGUUUAUCUCAAACUAACUUGUAGCUCCAAUCUCUAUUCUUCAACACAUUAUUGAACAAGAGUUCAUCGAGGGCAGAAGCAGUUAAAUUUCUCCAGAGCUCUAUAUCGGAUUAAUAUUCUCAACUUUAAACAAAGAAACAGGAUGAAGGUCUGGCUUCCGAUUUUAUUUGUGAUUGUGGCGCUGUUGAGUAUUGUCACUACCUCAUCAGCUGCUCCAUACAAACCACCGAAUGUGCAUCGUCAAAACGUGGUCAACAUGAAGCCAAACUGUCCACGAGGAGCUUAUAAAGUUAAUGGUCGUUGGAGAUGCAGAAAAUAGGAAAGCAUCCAAUACGAAUAAUUUAAAUUUGAAAAAGAAUUAUAUAUACAGGCCAAUUGUGUUAUUGCGAUGUGGGUGAUACGAAUAUGUAAGUUUUGUCAUUUUUUAUAUGGAUGUUGAACUUUUGAAAACAUUAUUGCUUACCUAUAAAUACUAAUGAAGCAAUAAAUAGAAUGGAGAGCAAUUUAACGAUAAACUGCGAUACUUUCAAUCAAUUAUAAGAUCGUGUAAAUAUUUUCAUGAUACAAUGUCCAUGAUUUAUGUUAAGUAAAAUGCGUCAUAUUAUUAUCACACAUAAUAAAUCCAAUAAUGAAGAUGUUUCAAUAAACUAAUACCUCGAA